UUUUUUUGUCCCCCCUCCCUGCUUGUUAACUGGUCAGGGAGGGGGGCUAUCUUAAUCCCUGGUGGUCCAGUGGCAUGGGCUGUGAAGUGGGGGGGCCAGCAGGAAGCAUUUACUUACCUUUCCUGCAGCUCCUGUCAGUUCCUGUCAGCUCCCUUCUCCUCCGUUCCGGUCAGCUCCACUGUCAGUCUCGCGGUCUUGUUUGCCGCGCGGAUCGUUGCCAUGGCUCUGACGGCCGCGGCUCUCUAAGUUGCCAUAAUACAGACAGUGACUCGAGUAUAAAUCGAGUGGGGGUUUUUAAGCACAAAAAAUGUGCUGAAAAAC
rnacentral:lncRNA from 1 species